rnacentral:lncRNA from 1 species
GACAGGGCGUUUUGGCUCCCGGGCUCAUCUGAGCCCGGGAGUGAACAGUAAGUUCGCCAAAAAUAGUAAAGUAAUUCAAAAAAAAUCAAUUUAUUUUGUGGUGAAAGAUGCUUGAUUUCGUGAUGUCCGCUCGAAAAUUCAGUGCGUUUGAACAUUUGACGAGCUCUGAGCAAAAAAGACAAAUUUUGGGCCUGUGAAAAAGUUUAUUGUUUUGCACUGUUCGGACCUGAUUUUGUCUCUUUUGCUGAGAGCUCGUCAGAUAUCCGAAUGAGCUGAAACUUGGCAUGGACAUCACGCACUUGAGCAUCUUUCACCACAAUUUUUUUUUUGAAUUUUUUAGAUUUUUUCUAUUUUUUUUAAUUUACUGUUCACAGGGUGUAGAUGAGUUCGGGAGCCGAAUUGGAUAUUCGGGUUCCUCCUACCUUCUCUUCUCACAUGCGAGGUACGAAUGAAAGAGUUACUCAGAUCCACUACUUAAUAAAAUCAACGGUUGAGAUCUAUUAGAUACUCUUAUUUUUCAUGUGAAAAGGGGAGGUAAGAGGGACCAUGUUAAAAAUGCUCGGUGAGGUUUUGACUGGAGUUUAUGGAAGCACCACCGAUCACGAUUAUGCUUGUAUGCUGCAGUUUAUGUAAGCAGAGGAAUGCGCGCGUGUUUGGCAAUGUUUCCCAACAGCGUUCUGUCAAUGGUCUUUGUGUGCAGAUUGUUGAGGAACUCGAGCAAGUACUUAGUGGGUAGCUAGCCCUCUUCUGCUGUUGUUCCCUGGUGUUUUGGUGUCCUUGCUCUGGUCGCUGGCGCCCUGAGAAGGAUGGUGUAUCUUUACGCUGCUUUCUUGUAUAAAGAAAAGAAAUGGUAUGCAAUUUACGUACUCUUGAAGAAGAAAGAAUAAAGGUGUAUGAACCCUUGUAUCUGGGUCUUUCG